rnacentral:lncRNA from 1 species
CGCCGGCCGCCUAAACGGGUGAGUUCACGCCCUUGGGGCCCCGAGAAGGCGGCCUGGUUGGGACAAAGCGGGUUCGCGGACGCAGUGAGGUCAACAGAAGGUCAUGGGGGGGGAACCUGCUCCAAUAGGAUCCGUGUCCUUCCAGGAAGAGGAGGAAACACCCGGGGAAGAUGCAGCCCCGGGACGCUGCGUCUCCUCUUCUGUGUCUGAGGAGGACGCUGUCCUUGGAUUCAGGGCCGCCUCCUCCAGGAAGCCCUCCUCUCCAUCCUUGGAUUCAGGGCCGCCUCCUCCAGGAAGCCCUCCUCUCCAUCCUUGGAUUCAGGGCCGCCUCCUCCAGGAAGCCCUCCUCUCCAUCCUUGGAUUCAGGGCCGCCUCCUCCAGGAAGCCCUCCUCUCCAUCCUGGAUUCAGGGCCGCCUCCUCCAGGAAGCCCUCCUCUCCAUCCUUGAUUCAGGGCCGGAGAGGAGGGCUUCCUGGAGGAGGCGGCCCUGAAUCAAGGAUGGAGAGGAGGGCUUCCUGGAGGAGGCGGCCCUGAAUCCAGGAUGGAGAGGAGGGCUUCCUGGAGGAGGCGGCCCUGAAUCAAGGAUGGAGAGGAGGGCUUCCUGGAGGAGGCGGCCCUGAAUCAAGGGUGGAGAGGAGGGCUUCCUGGAGGAGGCGGCCCUGAAUCAAGGAUGGAGAGGAGGGCUUCCUGGAGGAGGCGGCCCUGAAUCAAGGAUGGAGAGGAGGGCUUCCUGGAGGAGGUGGCCCUGAAUCAAGGGUGGAGAGGAGGGCUUCCUAGAGGAGGCGGCCCUGAAUCCAGGGACAGCGUCGUCCUCAGAGACAGAAGAGGAGACCCACCCUGUGCCCUGAAGACACCGGAUCCGUUUCUGUAAGUGAGUUGCUUUGUCUUGGGAUUGCCUUCCACGGAUCCCAACACCCACCCC